UACGUAGGGGGCAAGCGUUGUCCGGAAUCAUUGGGCGUAAAGAGCGCGUAGGCGGUCCGAUAAGUCGGUUGUGAAAGUCGGGGGCUCAACCCUCGGAGGCCGACCGAUACUGCCGGGCUAGAGUCCGGAAGAGGCGAGUGGAAUUCCUGGUGUAGCGGUGAAAUGCGCAGAUAUCAGGAGGAACACCAAUGGCGAAGGCAGCUCGCUGGGACGGUACUGACGCUGAGGAGCGAAAGCGUGGGGAGCGAACAGG
rnacentral:rRNA from 1 species